rnacentral:rRNA from 1 species
GACGUAGGGGGCGAGCGUUGUCCGGAUUUAUUGGGCGUAAAGCGUGCGUAGGCGGCUGCGCAAGUCGGUUGUGAAACCCCGGGGCUCAACCCCGGAACUGCAUCCGAUACUGCGUGGCUAGAGGUAGGUAGGGGAGAUCGGAAUUCCUGGUGUAGCGGUGAAAUGCGCAGAUAUCAGGAGGAACACCGAUGGCGAAGGCAGGUCUCUGGGCCACUACUGACGCUGAGAAGCGAAAGCGUGGGGAGCGAACAGG